rnacentral:tRNA from 1 species
CAGUAUUUAUUUCAAUAGUAGAAUAUAGAUUUUGGGAAUUUAUGAUCUAAGUGCGAUUCUUAGGAUACUGA